UCCGUAGGGGGCUAGCGUUGUCCGGAUUUAUUGGGCGUAAAGAGCGUGUAGGCGGCCAGGUAGGUCUGCUGUGAAAACUCGAGGCUCAACCUCGAGAUGUCGGCGGAAACCAUCUGGCUAGAGUCCGGAAGAGGAGAGUGGAAUUCCUGGUGUAGCGGUGAAAUGCGCAGAUAUCAGGAAGAACACCCGUGGCGAAGGCGGCUCUCUGGGACGGUACUGACGCUGAGACGCGAAAGCGUGGGGAGCGAACAGG
rnacentral:rRNA from 1 species